rnacentral:tRNA from 1 species
GGCACUAUGGCCGAGCGGUUAAGGCGAAAGAUUAGAAAUCUUUUGGGAUUUUCCCGCGCAGGUUCGAGUCCUGCUGGUAUCG